GUUUCCUGGAUAAUUUAGCUCCUGAGGAAAGAGAUAAGAUCUAAUAAAUCAUUCAAAGGAUUAACCCAACGUUUAUUCAUUCAUUAAUUAUUUAUUGAUCCUUUGCCUCAUCCCAAGCAAGAGGAGAGGUGCUGGGGAGUCAGAGACCAGUAAGACAUGGUGUGUGCUUUCAGAAGCUUCUGGUCCAGUGUAGUGCUGGUGUGCUGUUAGCACACAGAAUCAUGGAUUGCUGGCCUCCCUCCCCAGAAAUUCUAAUUUGGUGUAUCUUGGAUGGAACCUAAGAAACUGCUUAACCAAUGAGCUUCCAUACCGUCCACAGGUCACUCUGAGUGGCGCCGGUCUAAGUGAGUGGUGGGUAGGGAAGGGUCCUGUACACGAAUAAACCAGUAGUGCUGAGGGGUGCUGGAGAAAACCUUUGGCUGCUAGGAACCCUGACAGGGCAUCUAGGUUAGCCUCGGAGUGGAAGAGAAAGUAUUGCUUAAGCUGGGUUUUGAAGGGUGCAUUAGAGUUAUCUAGCAAAGACUGGUGAUGCUAGUUGGAGGGAGGGGAGAGGAAUGAAGAGAAUUCCAGAAGAGAAGCAGCAGGGGCGUAGAUUGGCAAACAGCUCAAUAUGGCUCGAGUGGAGGGUACAUGUGGAAGAACAAGGCCUCUACUGUGUGCCAGGUAUGGAGCAAGAUCAUGAACUGCGCAGGAACAUGAAGCCUUCGUCUGUUAGGCUAAACUAGCUGGCUUUUAUCCACAGAAUAAGGCAGUGACAUUGAAGGGAUUUGAGACAGAGGAGAGGACAGUUUUGUGUUUUAGAAACGUCUCUCUGAACUCCGGGAAGGAGAGACUGGAUCGGAUGGGAGGCAGGAGGAGCAGUUAGGACUGAAUAAUGCAAAUGAAGACCAAAGAGGGCCAGGGAAUGAAGAGAAGGAUGAUGAUUCUAGAAAAUGGAGGGGAGAUCUGCAGGGCGCAGUGGCCGUAACAUCCAGUUUAAAAGGGGCUGGCUGAAGCUGGAAUGAAAUUUGCCUUACAUUUAUCCUUACGGAGAGGAAAAGAAAACAGUUUUUUUACUGUGCUGUCGUCUGUAGAUAAUUGGUUUAUGGAUACCCACCCUUGAUUCUAAAAUUCUUUUAGGAAGAAGGGAAACGAGGAUCUACAUAACUAGUUAAUAACUGAGAUUCUGGAACAAGACUGCCUGGAUUUGAAGCUUGGCUCUAGCUACAUGUGACUUCAGUGGCUAGGUCAUACAAGCAAGACGUCAUAGCUUCUGAGCUGCUUUUUCGGAUCACUCACUUUGGGAAGCCAGUGGCCAUGUGGUGAGGACACUCAAGUCAUUCUAUGGAAAGAUCCAAGUGGCACGGAUGUGAAGGGUCCUGAUACCAGCCUUGUGAGUGGGUCUGAAAGCAGAUCCUCUGGAACCAGUCAAGCCUUCAGCCAACUGCAGCCUCAGCCCACAUGUUGACCUUCACCUCAGGAGAGACCUCAAACCAGAAGUACCC
rnacentral:lncRNA from 1 species